rnacentral:rRNA from 1 species
UGUGUGUUAGUGGAAGCGUCUGGAAAGGCGCGCGAUACAGGGUGACAGCCCCGUACACAAAAAUGCACAUGCUGUGAGCUCGAUGAGUAGGGCGGGACACGUGGUAUCCUGUCUGAAUAUGGGGGGACCAUCCUCCAAGGCUAAAUACUCCUGACUGACCGAUAGUGAACCAGUACCGUGAGGGAAAGGCGAAAAGAACCCCGGCGAGGGGAGUGAAAAAGAACCUGAAACCGUGUACGUACAAGCAGUGGGAGCCUCUUUAUGGGGUGACUGCGUACCUUUUGUAUAAUGGGUCAGCGACUUAUAUUCUGUAGCAAGGUUAACCGAAUAGGGGAGCCGAAGGGAAACCGAGUCUUAACUGGGCGUUAAGUUGCAGGGUAUAGA